UUUCACUUCUUUUAGUUUCUGUUCUGAGAUUGUGUUUGGUCUGGGCUGGAAUCUCCAUUUGCAGCUAGUUUGGUUCAGCUGUGUGCGUGAUUUUAAGAGGGUCUCCGA
rnacentral:snoRNA from 1 species